rnacentral:rRNA from 1 species
GAUGAACGCUGGCGGCGUGCUUAACACAUGCAAGUCGAACGAUGAUCCCAGCUUGGCUGGGGGAUUAGUGGCGAACGGGUGAGUAACACGUGAGUAACCUGCCCUUGACUCUGGGAUAAGCCUGGGAAACUGGGUCUAAUACCGGAUACGACCAUCUGGCGCAUGUCAUGGUGGUGGAAAGCUUUUGUGGUUUUGGAUGG